ensembl:ncRNA F57H12.10 ncRNA
AUUAAAUAUUUUGAAAAUUUAUUAAUAAUGAUGAAAAUCCAGAAAAUUUGGUAAAAAUCGGCAAUAGCAACGUCGAUUUGCUGGAUGUCGUCCAGCCAGCCACACACGUGUAAUUUCGAUUAGUCGAUCGUGGCGAGACCCGUCAGCCAGAAAACGCGCCCUCCCUUGAAGAAUGCAUUUAUUUCUCGAUGAGAUCUCUCGAUUUGGCCGCUUAUUCGUCGCACAAAAGCCUGUUUUGUACAAUUUUAAGUGACUGGAUGUAUUUUAGAUAAUAUUACUUUAAAAACAAAACAUUCCUGUACAAAAUAAUAUCUGAAAGACAAGAAAAUAUAGUGUAAAUCUUUAAAUUAAAAAAAAAACAUUUA